AAAAACAACAACAUAAAAAACAUGACAAGCAGCAGUCUACAAAACACAACAUUGAAAACUAAAGACUGAGAAUUGAAUAGGUGCUCCGAUAGGGUAAAUAGGUCCUGCUGCACCUAUCGUGCUAUAUGGUUACAGAUGACAGCAAGAAUUAUACACUAUGGUACAGUUGAACAAGGAUGUUACAGGUAGCAGUAGACGGCACAGUUGACAAACAAUGUUACAGGUAGCAGUAGAUGGUACAGAUGACAAAUGAUGUUACAGGUGGCAGUAGAUGGUACAGUUGACAAACAAUGUUACAGGUGGCAGUAGAUGGUACAGUUGACAAAUGAUGUUACAGGUGGCAUAAGAUGGUACAGUUGACAAACAAUGUUACAGGUGGCAGUAGAUGGUAUAGUUAACAAGUGAUGUUACAGAUGCCAGUAGAAUGUACAGUUGACAAAUGAUGUUGCAGAUGGCAGUAGAUGGUAUAGUUGACAAAUUAUGUUACCAGUGGGCAGUGGCAGUAGAUGUUCAAGUUUAUAAACAAUGUCACAGGUGGCAGUAGAUGGUACAGUUGACAAAUGAUGUUACAGAUGACAGUGGAUGGUACAGUUGACAAAUGAUGUUACAGGUGGCAGUAGAUGGUACAGAUGACGAAUGAUGUUACAGUUGACAGUAGAUGGUACAGAUGACUAAUGAUGUUACAGGUAGCAGUAGAUGGUACAGUCGUCAAAUGAUGUUAUAGAUGGCAGUAGAUGGUACAGUUUAUAAACUAUGUUACAGGUGGCAGUAGAUGGUACAGUCGUCAAAUGAUGUUAUAGAUGGCAGUAGAUGGUACAGUUUAUAAACUAUGUUACAGGUGGCAGUAGAUGGUACAGUUGAUAAUUGAUGUUAUAGAUGGUAGUAGAUGGUACAGUUUAUAAAUAUGGUUACAGGUGGCAGUAGAUGGUACAGAUGACCAAUGAUGUUACAGGUGGCAGUAGAUGGUAGAGUUGACAAAUGACGUUACAGAUGGCAGUAGAUGGUACAGUUGACAAAUGAUGUUACUGGUGGCAGUAGAUGGUACAGUUGACAAAUGAUGUUACAGGUGGCAGUAGAUGGUACAGUUGACUAAUGAUGUUACAGGUAGCAGUAGAUGGUACAGUUGACUAAUGAUAUUACAGGUGGCAGUAGAUGGUACAGAUGGCUAAUGAUGUUACAGGUGGCAGCAGAUGGUACAGUUGACAAAUGAUGUUACAGAUGGCAGUAGAUGGUACAGUUGACAAAUGAUGUUACAGGUGGCAGGAGAUGGUACAGUUGACAAAUGUUGUUACAGAUGGCAGUCGAUGGUACAGUUGACAAACAAUUUUACAGGUGGCAGUAGAUGGGACAGUUGACAAAUGAUGUUAAAGGUGGCAGGAGAUGGUACAGUUGAUAAAUGAUGUUACAAAUGGCAGUAGAUGGUACAGUUGACAAACAUUGUUACAGGUGGCAAUAGAUAGUACAGUUGACAAAUGAUGUUACAGGUGGCAGGAGAUGGUACAGUUGACAAAUGAUGUUACAGGUGGCAGUAGAUGGUACAGUUGACAAACAAUGUUACAGGUGGCAGUAGAUGGUACAGUUAACAAAUGAUGUUCCAGAUGACAGUAGAUGGUACAGUUGACAAAUGAUGUUACAGGUGGCAGUAGAUGGUACAGUUGACAAAUGAUGUUACAAGAUGCAAGAGAUGGUACAGUUGACAAAUGAUGUUACAGGUGGCAGCAGAUGGUACAGUUGACAAAUGAUGUUACAGGUGGCAGUAGAUGGUACAGUUGACAAAUUAUGUUACAGGUGGCAGUAGAUGGUACAGAUGACAAACAAUAUUACAGAUGGCAGUAGAUGGUACAGAUGACAAAUGACAUUACGGAUGACAGUAGAUGGUACAGAUGAUGAAUGAUGUUACAGGUGGCAUAAUAUGGUACAGAUGACAAACAAUGUUACAGGUAUCAGUAGAUGGUACAGAUGACAAAUGAUGUUACAGGUGGCAGUAGAUGGUAUAGAUGACAAAUGAUGUUUCAGAUGGCAGUAGAUGGUACAGUUGACAAAUGAUGUUACAGAUGACAGUAGAUGGUACAGAUGACGAAUGAUGUUACAGGUGGCAUAAGAUGGUACAGAUGACAAAUGAUGUUACAGAUGGCAGUAGAUGGUACAGAUGAGGAAUGAUGUUACAGGUGGCAGUAGAUGGUACAGAUGACAAAAGAUAUUACAGAUGGUAGUAGAUGGUACAGAUGACGAAUGAUGUUACAGGUGGCAUAAGAUGGUACAGAUGACAAAUGAUGUUACAGGUGGCAGUAGAUGGUACAGAUGACAAAUGAUGUUACAGAUGGCAGCAGGUGGUACAGAUGACAAACAAUGUUACAGGUGGUAGUAGAUGGUACAGUUGACAAAUGAUGUUACAGAUGGCAGUAGAUAGUACAGUUGACAAAUGAUGUUACAGGUGGCAGUAGAUGUUACAGUUAACAAAUGAUGUUUUACAAAUGACCUUAGAGAUGGCAGUAGAUGGUACAGUUGACAAAUGCUGUUACAGAUGACAGUAGAUGGUAGUUGAAAAAUGAUGUUACAGGUGGCAGUAGUUGGUACAGUUGACAAAUGAUGUUACAGGUGGUAGUAGAUGGUACAGUUGACAAAUGAUGUUACAGAUGGCAGUAGAUAGUACAGUUGACAAAUGAUGUUACAGGUGGCAGUAGAUGUUACAGUUAACAAAUGAUGUUUUACAAAUGACCUUAGAGAUGGCAGUAGAUGGUACAGUUGACAAAUGCUGUUACAGAUGACAGUAGAUGGUAGUUGAAAAAUGAUGUUACAGGUGGCAGUAGUUGGUACAGUUGACAAACAAUGUUACUGAUGGAAGUAGAUGGUACAGAUGACAAAUGAUGUUACAGGUGGCAAUAGAUGGUACAGUUGACAAAUGAUGUUACAGGUGGCAGGAGAUGGUACAGUUGACUUAUGAUGUUACAGGUGGCAGUAGAUGGUACAGUUGACAAAUGAUGUUACAGGUGGCAGGAGAUGGUACAGUUGACUUAUGAUGUUACAGAUGGCAGUAGAUGGUACAGAUGACAGUAGAUGGUACAGUUGACAAAUGAUGUUACAGGUGGCAGUAGAUGGUACAGAUGACAAAUUAUGUUACAGGUGGCAGUAGAUGCUACAGAUGACGAAUGAUGUUACAGGUGGCAGUAGAUGGUACAGAUGACAAAUGAUAUUACAGAUGACAGUAGAUGGUACAGAUGACGAAUGAUGUUACAGAGGCAUAAGAAGGUACAGAUGACAAAUGAUGUUACAGGUGGCAGUAGAUGGUACAGAUGACAAAUGAUGUUACAGGUGGCAGUAGAUGGUAAAGUUGACAAAUGAUGUUACAGGUGGCAGUAGAUGGUAAAGUUGACAAAUGAUGUUACAGGUGGCAAUAGAUGGUACAGUUGACAAAUGAUGUUACAGGUGGCAGUAGAUUGUAAAGUUGACAAAUGAUGUUACAUGUGGCAGUAGAUGGUACAGAUGACAAAUUAUGUUACAGGUGGCAGUAGAUGGUACAGAUGACGAAUGAUGUUACAGGUGGCAGUAGAUGGUACAGAUGACAAACAAUGUUACAGAUGGCAGUAGAUGGUACAGAUGACAAAUGAUAUUACAGAUGACAAUAGAUGGUACAGAUGACGAAUGAUGUUACAGAGGCAUAAGAAGGUACAGAUGACAAAUGAUGUUACAGGUGGCAGUAGAUGGUACAGAUGACAAAUGAUGUUACAGGUGGCAGUAGAUGGUACAGAUGACAAAUGAUGUCACAGAUGGCAGUAGAUGGUACAGUUGACAAAUGAUGUUACAGAUGACAGUAGAUGGUAGAGUUGACAAAUGAUGUAACAGGUGGCAGUAGAUGGUACAGAUGACAAAUGAUGUUACAGGUAGCAGGAGAUGGUACAGUUGACUUAUGAUGUUACAGGUGGCAGUAGAUGGUACAGAUGACAAAUGAUGUUACAGGUAGCAGGAGAUGGUACAGUUGACUAAUGAUGUUACAGGUAGCAGUAGAUGGUACAGAUGACUAAUGAUGUUACAGGUGGCAGUAGAUUGUAAACCGGACAAAUGAUGUUACAGAUAGCAGUAGAUGGUACAGUUGACACAUGAUGUUACAGGUGGCAGUAGAUGGUAAAGUUGACUAAUAAUGUUACAGGUGGCAGUAUAUGGUACAGUUGAAAAACAAUGUUACAGAUGGCAGUAGAUGGUACAGAGGACAAAUGAUG